rnacentral:rRNA from 1 species
UACGGAGUGUGCAAGCGUUACUCGGAAUCACUGGGCAUAAAGGGCGCGUAGGCGGGUUUCCAAGUCGGUUGUGAAAUCCCUCAGCUCAACUGAGGAACUGCAUCCGAUACUGUUUGUCUUGAGGACGGGAGGGGAGAGUGGAACUUCUGGUGAAGCGGUGAAAUGCGUAGAUAUCAGAAGGAACGCCGGUGGCGAAAGCGACUCUCUGGCCCGUAUCUGACGCUGAAGCGCGAAAGCUUGGGUAGCAAACGGG